rnacentral:rRNA from 1 species
CCUACGGGAGGCAGCAGUGGGGAAUUUUGCGCAAUGGGGGGAACCCUGACGCAGCGACGCCGCGUGAGUGAUGAAGGCCUUCGGGUUGUAAAGCCCUGUUGGGGGGGAAGAUAGUGACGGUACCCCCUGAGGAAGCCCCGGCUAACUACGUGCCAGCAGCCGCGGUAAGACGUAGGGGGCGAGCGUUGUCCGGAAUUACUGGGCGUAAAGGGCGUGUAGGCGGCUUUUCAAGUCGGCUGUGAAAUUCCCCGGCUUAACCGGGGGGGUGCAGUCGAAACUGGGGGGCUUGAGUGCAGGAGAGGGUGGUGGAAUUCCCGGUGGAGCGGUGACAUGCGUAGAUAUCGGGAGGAACACCGGUGGCGAAGGCGACCUCCUGGCCUGUUACUGACGCUGAGGCGCGAAAGCCGGGGGAGCAAACAGGAUUAGAUACCCUGGUAGUCCCGGCCGUAAACUCUGGGUACUAGGUGUAGGGGGCUUCGAUGCCUUCUGUGCCGUAGUUAACGCAUUAAGUACCCCGCCUGGGGAGUACGAUCGCAAGGUUGAAACUCAAAUGAAUUGACGG